rnacentral:rRNA from 1 species
UGAAUACGAGAUGCUACGGCGUCGAAGCAGUGUAUGUCAGACUUCCAAGAAAAGCUCGCAAUGUCAUAAAUAAAGAAUGCCUGUACCAUAACCGACACAGGUGGGUAGGUAGAGUAUACUAAGGGGCGCGAGAUAACUCUCUCUAAGGAACUCGGCAAAAUAACUCCGUAAUUUCGGGAGAAGGAGUGCCUUCUUUAAGAAGGUUGCAAUAACAAGAUCCAAGCAACUGUUUAUCAAAAACACAGGUCUCCGCUAAGUCGUAAGACGAUGUAUGGGGGCUGACGCCUGCCCAGUGCCAGAAGGUUAAAGAAGUUGGUUAGCUUUUGCGAAGCUGAUGACUGAAGCCCUGGUGAACGGCGGCCGUAACGAUAACGGUCCUAAGGUAGCGAAAUUCCUUGUCGGGUAAGUUCCGACCCGCACGAAAGGCGUAAUGAUUUGGAUGCUGUCUCGGAGAGGGACUCGGUGAAAUAGACUUGUCUGUGAAGAUGCGGACUACCUGCACCAGGACAGAAAGACCCUAUGAAGCUUUACUGUAACUUGAAAUUGAAAUUGGACUUUAUUUGCGCAGUAUAGGUGGAAGGCGUUGAAAGUAAUCUUGCGGGAUUAGUGGAGCCAUCAGUGAGAUACCACUCCUAUAAUGUUAGAUUUCUAACUUUGGAUCAUGAUCUGGUCAAAGAACAGUUUCAGGCGGGCAGUUUGACUGGGGCGGUCGCCUCCCAAAUGGUAACGGAGGCGUACAAAGGUUUCCUCUGAACGGGUAGAAAUCGUAUCUAGAGUGUAAAGGCAUAAGGAAGCUUGACUGUGAGACCUACAAGUCGAGCAGGGACGAAAGUCGGUCUUAGUGAUCUGACGGUGCUGAGUGGAAAGGCCGUCACUCAACGGAUAAAAGUUACUCUAGGAUAACAGGCUGAUCUCCCCCAAGAGUUCACAUCGACGGGGAGGUUUGGCACCUCGAUGUCGGCUCAUCGCAUCCUGGGGCGGUAGUACGUCCCAAGGGUUGGGCUGUUCGCCCAUGAAAGCGGUACGCGAGCUGGGUUCAGAACGUCGUGAGACAGUUCGGUCCAUAUCCGGUGUAGGCGUUAGAAUAUUGAGAGGAGCCUUCUUUAGUACGAGAGGACCGAGAAGGACAUACCUCUGGUGUACCAGUUAUCGUGCCAACGGUAAACGCUGGGUAGCUAUGUAUGGAGAGGAUAACCGCUGAAAGCAUCUAAGUGGGAAGCCCACCUCAAGAUGAGUAUUCC